GAUAACUCUCCAGGUGCCAGUCCUUGAGACCUUAGAGAAAUAACAAGCUCGAGGGAGACCAUGGAAAAAGUACAAGCCGUGAUUUCAGACUGAGGUCCGCCUCCAAGGGUCUGAUCUGUGUCAGCUAAAACCAGAGCUGGUGGUGACCAACUACAUCGAUGAACUCGAUCCCUCCUUCCCUCCCUUUCUCCAUCCUUCGGAGAUCUAAUGGCAGUUCCAGCUGUGAGACGUGGCACCCUUGAGCUUCCUUGUUACAAGCUUGGAGAGAUAGCAUCAGGGUGCCAAGCAGAUCAACUCUGAAGGAAGCAAUGAGAUCCAGAAACAAACCUAUGGGAGUUGAUUUAACUUCAUAGAUGUUAUGUUAAGACUU
rnacentral:lncRNA from 1 species